rnacentral:rRNA from 1 species
GACGAACGCUGGCGGCGUGCUUAACACAUGCAGGUCGAACGGAAAGGCCCUGCUUUUGUGGGGUGCUCGAGUGGCGAACGGGUGAGUAACAAGUGAGUAACCUGCCCUUGACUUUGGGAUAACUUCAGGAAACUGGGGCUAAUACCGGAUAGGAGCUCCUGCUGCAUGGUGGGGGUUGGAAAGUUUCGGCGGUUGGGGAUGGACUCGCGGCUUAUCAGCGUGUUGGUGGGGUAGUGGCUUACCAAGGCUUUGACGGGUAGCCGGCCUGAGAGGGUGACCGGCCACAUUGGGACUGAGAUACGGCCCAGACGCCUACGGGAGGCAGCAGUGGGGAAUAUUGCACAAUGGGCGGAAGCCUGAUGCAGCAACGCCGCGGGCGGGAUGACGGCCUUCGGGUUGUAAACCGCUUUCGCCUGUGACGAAGCGUGAGUGACGGUAAUGGGUAAAGAAGCACCGGCUAACUACGUG